rnacentral:rRNA from 1 species
AUGGUGGUGGUGUUGGCCAUGGUGAUGGUCUUGGCCGUGGUGAUGGACUUGGCCGUGGUGAUGGACAAGGGCAAGGUCGUUAUAGAGGAAUGUUUGGAUACCUCGAUGGACCAUUUCCCUAUGGCGGCUUCCCAACCCAACAAACCAACAAUGAAGGAGGAUGGCGAAGAUGAGAUGGCGGGAUGGUGGGAGAAGGCUGCGAAGAAGCUUAGAGAGGAGGAUGCAGCCAAGCUAAAGAAGAAGAAGGAAGAGGAGCUUGAGGAGAAGAGGAAGGCAAAAGAGAGAGCAUCAAAUGCGAUGCGUGCUAGGGAGCAAGCAUUGGUGAGGAAAUGCGAGGAGGCACAGAAGAAGCGUCAAAAGGAUUUUGAAGAAGGAACCAUGAAGCUUUGGGCAAUUGCAGCUGAAAAAAAGAGAGGGAGUAUAAGAUAUUCAUGGAGAGGGUGGUUAAGGAGGCCCACCUCAUAA